AGUGAGCGCUGGCGGUGGGCCUAACACAUGCAAGUCGAACGGCAGCACAGUAAGAGCUUGCUCUUACGGGUGGCGAGUGGCGGACGGGUGAGGAAUACAUCGGAAUCUACUUUUUCGUGGGGGAUAACGUGGGGAAACUUACGCUAAUACCGCAUACGACCUACGGGUGAAAGCAGGGGAUCUUCGGACCUUGCGCGAUUGAAUGAGCCGAUGUCGGAUUAGCUAGUUGGCGGGGUAAAGGCCCACCAAGGCGACGAUCCGUAGCUGGUCUGAGAGGAUGAUCAGCCACACUGGAACUGAGACACGGUCCAGACUCCUACGGGAGGCAGCAGUGGGGAAUAUUGGACAAUGGGCGCAAGCCUGAUCCAGCCAUACCGCGUGGGUGAAGAAGGCCUUCGGGUUGUAAAGCCCUUUUGUUGGGAAAGAAAAGCAGCAGGUUAAUACCCCGCUGUUCUGACGGUACCCAAAGAAUAAGCACCGGCUAACUUCGUG
rnacentral:rRNA from 1 species